AUUGAACGCUGGCGGCAGGCCUAACACAUGCAAGUCGAACGGUAACAGGAAGAAGCUUGCUUCUUUGCUGACGAGUGGCGGACGGGUGAGUAAUGUCUGGGAAACUGCCUGAUGGAGGGGGAUAACUACUGGAAACGGUAGCUAAUACCGCAUAACGUCGCAAGACCAAAGAGGGGGACCUUCGGGCCUCUUGCCAUCGGAUGUGCCCAGAUGGGAUUAGCUAGUAGGUGGGGUAACGGCUCACCUAGGCGACGAUCCCUAGCUGGUCUGAGAGGAUGACCAGCCACACUGGAACUGAGACACGGUCCAGACUCCUACGGGAGGCAGCAGUGGGGAAUAUUGCACAAUGGGCGCAAGCCUGAUGCAGCCAUGCCGCGUGUAUGAAGAAGGCCUUCGGGUUGUAAAGUACUUUCAGCGGGGAGGAAGGGUGUAAAGUUAAUACCUUUGCUCAUUGACGUUACCCGCAGAAGAAGCACCGGCUAACUCCGUG
rnacentral:rRNA from 1 species